rnacentral:rRNA from 1 species
ACGAACGCUGGCGGCGUGCCUAACACAUGCAAGUCAACUUGACUGAAGGAGCAAUCUGACAGUAGAGUGGCGCAAGGGUGCGUAACGCGUAAGUAACUUGCCCAAGGUAAGGAAUAACGUCGAGAAAUCGGCGCUAAUACCUCAUAAUGCAGCGGAUCCGCAUGGAUAUGUUGUUAAGGUUUACCGCCUUGGGAUAGGCUUGCGUCUGAUUAGCUAGUUGGUGUGGUAACGGCACACCAAGGCUACGAUCAGUAACUGGUCUGAGAGGAUGAUCAGUCACACUGGAACUGAGACACGGUCCAGACUCCUACGGGAGGCAGCAGUGAGGAAUAUUGGGCAAUGCUCGAAAGAGUGACCCAGCAACGCCGCGUGGAGGAUGAAGGUAUUCUAUAUCGUAAACUCCUGUGAGAGCAGACGAAAGACAGAUUAUUAAUCUGGAUGACUGUAUGCUCAGAGGAAGCCCCGGCUAACUACGUG